GACCAAGGAGUCUAACAUGUGCGCGAGUCAAUGGGUCUUGAAUAUGCCCAAAGGCGCAAUGAAAGUGAGUACCGGAUUCCUGUAGAAUCUGGUCAUGGUUGGGACUCUCCGUCUUCGGGCGGGGAAGCACCAACGACCCGUCCUAUCCGAUUUAUCGGUUGGGCGGAGUCAGAGCGCACACGUUGCGACCCGAAAGAUGGUGAACUAUGCCUGGGCAGGACGAAGUCAGAGGAAACUCUGGUGGAGGUCCGUAGCGGUUCUGACGUGCAAAUCGAUCGUCAGACCCGGGUAUAGGGGCGAAAGACUAAUCGAACCAUCUAGUAGCUGGUUCCCUCCGAAGUUUCCCUCAGGAUAGCUGGCGCUCGGAGAAUUCAGUCUCAUCCGGUAAAGCGAAUGAUUAGAGGCCUUGGGGCCGAAACGACCUCAACCUAUUCUCAAACUUUAAAUGGGUGAGAAGUCCGGCUUGCGUAGAUUUGAGAAGCCCGGACGUUAAAUGGAUGAGAGUGCCCAGUGGGCCACUUUUG
rnacentral:rRNA from 1 species